AACGAACGCUGGCGGCAUGCCUAACACAUGCAAGUCGAACGAGACCUUCGGGUCUAGUGGCGCACGGGUGCGUAACGCGUGGGAACCUGCCCUUAGGUUCGGAAUAACUCAGAGAAAUUUGAGCUAAUACCGGAUAAUGUCUUCGGACCAAAGAUUUAUCGCCUUUGGAUGGGCCCGCGUAGGAUUAGCUUGUUGGUGGGGUAAUGGCCUACCAAGGCGACGAUCCUUAGCUGGUCUGAGAGGAUGAUCAGCCACACUGGGACUGAGACACGGCCCAGACCCCUACGGGAGGCAGCAGUGGGGAAUAUUGGACAAUGGGCGAAAGCCUGAUCCAGCAAUGCCGCGUGAGUGAUGAAGGCCUUAGGGUUGUAAAGCUCUUUUACCAGGGAUGAUAAUGACAGUACCUGGAGAAUAAGCUCCGGCUAACUCCGUG
rnacentral:rRNA from 1 species